rnacentral:misc_RNA from 1 species
CCAGAGUUCGAUCCUCUGA